GACGAACGCUGGCGGCGUGCCUAAUACAUGCAAGUAGAACGCUGAAACUUGGUGCUUGCACCGAGCGGAUGAGUUGCGAACGGGUGAGUAACGCGUAGGUAACCUGCCUGGUAGCGGGGGAUAACUAUUGGAAACGAUAGCUAAUACCGCAUAAGAGUAGAUGUUGCAUGACAUUUGCUUAAAAGGUGCAAUUGCACCACUACCAGAUGGACCUGCGUUGUAUUAGCUAGUUGGUGGGGUAACGGCUCACCAAGGCGACGAUACAUAGCCGACCUGAGAGGGGGGUCGGCCACACUGGGACGGAGACACGGCCCAGACGCCUGCGGGAGGCAGCAGACGGGAAUCUUCGGCAAUGGACGGAAGUCUGACCGAGCAAGGCCGCGUGAGUGACGAAGGUUUUCGGAUCGUAAAGCUCUGUUGUAAGAGAAGAACGAGUGUGAGAGUGGAAAGUUCACACUGUGACGGUAUCUUACCAGAAAGGGACGGCUAACUACGUG
rnacentral:rRNA from 1 species